GGUCCGGGGAAUGGCGCUGAGAUGGGGAACGGUCUGGAGCGGCCGAGGGAGCUGCGGGUGUUUAGCCCGGAGAAGAAGGGUCUUGGGGGCACCUUAACACUCUCUACAACUCCUGACAGGAGGCGGUAGCCAGGUGGGGGUCGGCCGCUUCUCCCAGGCAACGGGAUGAGAGGACAAAGCCUUAAACUGCACGUGGGAGUUUAGGUUGUACUUCAGGAGGAAUUUCCUCACAGAAAGGGUGAUUAGAUGUUGGAACGGGCUGCCCAGCGAGAUGGAGUUGGAUGAUGGAUCCCUUCGAGAUGUUUAAGGAAAGGCUGGACCUGGCUCUUUGUGCCACGGCCUGGCUGAUGGCGUAGGUCGGACUCGAUGAUCUCAGAGGCCUGUUCCAACCGAAUGGAUUCUGAGUGACUCUGUGAUUACCAUCACUAUUACCAUUAUCACCAUUGUUGCCGUCAGUCACACUCUGCUCUUUAGGCCUGAGCCUCAAGCGUUGUCCCUCAAGUGAGCUGGGAAGGCUCUUCCUGGGCCUGUGCUUGGAUUGAAAAAAAGCAUUUCUCGUGGUCCUUGCAUGUCUGCUCGUGUGUGGGUCAACCAGGAGAAGGUGAUGAUGUCUGAACAGCCUUGAAGUCAGCAACAGAAGUUGUACCACUGAUGGAACAACCACGUGAUACCUCACAACUCUAAAAAGAUGUGUAACAUCAAUUUGUGACACACCCAUGGCAGUCUUCAGAAUACAAGCUAAAUCCUCUUCUGUUACAGU